rnacentral:rRNA from 1 species
UGGUGGAGUGAUUUGUCUGGUUAAUUCAGUUAACGAACGAGACUGCUGCCUGCUAAAUAGGUUUGUUAGUCAAUUUCACUGAUGAAAUCUUCUUAGAGGGACGUGCAUUCUAUUAGAUGUAGGAAGAUAGAUGCAAUAAAA